CCUACGGGAGGCAGCAGUAGGGAAUCUUCCACAAUGGACGAAAGUCUGAUGGAGCAACGCCGCGUGAGUGAAGAAGGGUUUCGGCUCGUAAAGCCCUGUUGGUAGUGAAGAAAGAUAGAGGUAGUAACUGGCCUUUAUUUGACGGUAAUUACUUAGAAAGUCACGGCUAACUACGUGCCAGCAGCCGCGGUAAUACGUAGGUGGCAAGCGUUGUCCGGAUUUAUUGGGCGUAAAGCGAGUGCAGGCGGUUCAAUAAGUCUGAUGUGAAAGCCUUCGGCUCAACCGGAGAAUUGCAUCAGAAACUGUUGAACUUGAGUGCGGAAGAGGAGGAUGGAACGCCAUGUGUAGCGGUGGAAUGCGUAGAUAUAUGGAAGAACACCAGUGGCGAAGGCGGCUCUCUGGUCUGCAACUGACGCUGAGGCUCGAAAGCAUGGGUAGCGAACAGGAUUAGAUACCCGAGUAGUC
rnacentral:rRNA from 1 species